GAUUUUUAAAAAAUAAUAUAUAAAAAUAACGCUCGAUGAUGGGAAAAAUAUAGAAAAAUUCUGGAAAAUAGCAGAGGGUCUUAGGAUUGGGAUUCAGCUCGGCGGUGGAGAAGAUUGUGUUAUUUUGGUGUUUUUUGACGUCGCUUUUUGAGCGGGAGUAACGGACGAGCUGCUGCGCAGAUACACGCAGUUCAGUCCGAGUCUGUGACGAAUCACACUCUGAACCUAGAUUAGAGAGGACACAUCAGCCUUUUUAACCGGAAAGGAAUGUAGAGCACACACAUGACACUGAGCUGUGACAUAGUCAACUAACUGUUGCGAAACGCGGAGGGUGUCUGUGCGGCGGUGUGGACGCGCGUGCGCUCGGCGCGGGGCCUGUCGGUAC